rnacentral:rRNA from 1 species
AAGACCUUGCGCUUUUGGAGCGGCCGAUGCCUGAUUAGCUAGUUGGUGGGGUAAUGGCCUACCAAAGCUUCGAUCAGUAGCUGGUCUGAGAGGACGGCCAGCCACACUGGGACUGAGACACGGCCCAGACUCCUACGGGAGGCAGCAGUGGGGAGUUUUGGACAAUGGGCGCAAGCCUGAUCCAGCCAUGCCGCGUGAGUGAAGAAGGCCUUCGGGUUGUAAAGCUCUUUCAGCCGGGAAGAAAAGGUUGCGAUUAAUAAUCGCAAUUUAUGACGGUACCGGAAGAAGAAGCACCGGCUAACUACGUGCCAGCAGCCGCGGUAAUACGUGGGGUGCGAGCGUUAAUCGGAAUUACUGGGCGUAAAGGGUGCGCAGGCGGUUUUGUAAGUCAGAUGUGAAAUCCCCGGGCUUAACCUGGGAACU